GGCCGCUUGCUUCCUGUUUGUCCGACGAGGAGACAUGGCGGCGGCGCCGGUAGCGGCUGGGUCUGGAGCCGGCCGAGGGAGACGGUCGGCAGCCACAGUGGCGGCUUGGGGCGGAUGGGGCGGCCGGCCGCGGCCUGGUAACAUUCUGCUGCAGCUGCGGCAGGGCCAGCUGACCGGCCGGGGCCUGGUCCGGGCGGUGCAGGUUUUGGCAAGCUCGGGCUGUGGAGAGUUUCCUCCGAGGGACCACCUCCUAUGCAGACCAGAUGACUAUUAAAUAACUUUAUUUU
rnacentral:lncRNA from 1 species